rnacentral:rRNA from 1 species
CAAUAGCGUAUAUUAAAGUUGUUGCAGUUAAAAAGCUCGUAGUUGGAUUUCUUGCAGGAGCGACCGGUCACACACUCUGUGUGUGAACUUGCGUUGUCUCUGGCCAUCCUUGGGAAGAUCCUGUUUGGCAUUAAGUUGUCGGGCAGGGGAUACCCAUCGUUUACUGUGAAAAAAUUAGAGUGUUUAAAGCAGGCUUAUGCCGUUGAAUAUAUUAGCAUGGAAUAAUAAGAUAGGACUUCGGAACUAUUUUGUUGGUUUGCGUUACGAAGUAAUGAUUAAUAGGGACAGUUGGGGGUAUUCGUAUUUCGUUGUCAGAGGUGAAAUUCUUGGAUUUCCGAAAGACGAACUACUGCGAAAGCAUUUACCAAGGAUGUUUUCAUUAA